AUUGAACGCUGGCGGCAGGCUUAACACAUGCAAGUCGAGCGGGGUGAUGGUGCUUGCACUAUCACUUAGCGGCGGACGGGUGAGUAAUGCUUAGGAAUCUGCCUAUUAGUGGGGGACAACAUCUCGAAAGGGAUGCUAAUACCGCAUACGUCCUACGGGAGAAAGCAGGGGAUCACUUGUGACCUUGCGCUAAUAGAUGAGCCUAAGUCGGAUUAGCUAGUUGGUGGGGUAAAGGCCUACCAAGGCGACGAUCUGUAGCGGGUCUGAGAGGAUGAGCCGCCACACUGGGACUGAGACACGGCCCAGACUCCUACGGGAGGCAGCAGUGGGGAAUAUUGGACAAUGGGGGGAACCCUGAUCCAGCCAUGCCGCGUGUGUGAAGAAGGCCUUAUGGUUGUAAAGCACUUUAAGCGAGGAGGAGGCUCUUUUGGUUAAUACCCAAGAUGAGUGACGUUACUCGCAGAAUAAGCACCGGCUAACUCUGUGCCAGCCGCCGCCGUAA
rnacentral:rRNA from 1 species